ensembl:lncRNA
GGGAGGGGGCGGGGGCGGGGGACCAAGGCGGACAGGGAGGGGUGUCCCCCAGCUCCUCAGCGCCCCCUGGUGUUGAGACUCCAGGACUCUCGCCCUUCAGGGCGCACCCAAGCGGUGCUGCCCCGGGACCAGUUAGCAGGGCACAGGAGGAGAGCGGUGAAGCCACCCGUUACCUGGACGAGUCUGGGCCACUGGGCCCCUAGAGACACAAGUGGGGCUUCGGGGGAUUAGUCCCUCCCGCCUGGUGGCCGCCUAAGGCGGAAGAACCGUGGGCCUGGGGCGGAGCUCCCUGGGCAGGGUGGGGCGGGGAGGAAGGGGGCGGGCAGAGGUCCUCGGCACCCUGGCCCGGCGGGAACAAACUGCCGCGGUGGCGGGAGCUAGGCUCGUGUGGCUGGAGGCGGGUCAUCCUUCUCUUCGCAGCUCCCGCAAACCCAUGGUUCCCUGGAGCCACAGCCUCCAGUGCUCUCAGCCUCUGAGAGUCAAGGCUUUCGUUGGCGCAGCUGCAGCCGGUGGCAAUGGCUACAAACCUCCUCCCCUCGUCUCCCUAAGGCGGAGCCCAGGCCACCCGGGCCGAAGCGCCCACGGAUCGCGAGUGAGCAGAAACGCCCAGACAGACGCCGCGGGACAGGGACCUACAAGAGUCCCAGGGGUUUCCGGCAAGCUGGAGAGGAGAGUGAUCCGGGGGAGCAAACUUGGCGCCGGCAACUCAGAGAGACACUUCCUUGGCACUCACCCAGAAACUUGGAACGGCUGGACUCUACGUUUUGCUCACCUUAGCUUCUUUUCCCAACCUGUCGGCAUGCUUCAAAUCCCUCCGAAAUUUCCUGAGAGAAGCCUUCCCAGAGUCAAGACCAACCUCCCCUCUUCCUGCUCUGAGCUCUUCGAAACCUAACGCCUGGACUCUCAACUCCAGCCCUGCUCACCACUGCGGAGUCCACCUGCUUACUGCCCCACCCAUCUUCAAAGAGACCGUUAAUCCCCUCCACAUCCACCCCUUGCGAGCUAUGCUAAGUAUACUCCCCCAUCCACCCAUCCUCUCAUCUCGGUAAAAGAAGACUGAAGAUUAAAACUAGAGAAUCCUGCCAAGAGACUGCCUCAUCCUCCUGCUAGGAUAUCCCCAAAGGACUGUGAAGUGGACUGAUCUUAUGGUCACAGGAGAGUAAUCACAAUUGGAGCCAUAGGACAAGCAAGUGUGUCUGGAAGCCAAGAUGCCUGAAAGAUGGGGGUAAAAAAAAAAAAAAGUCUGCCAUUUGAUCAAGGGCUAUGGACUGACAGGGAGAAGGACCUCUUACCAUAGACAGAAUGGCAGCCAGAGUAUAGAACAACACAGAGUUGGGGAGGCAAGUACCCCAGCUUACCAGAUCUAGAGGUUUGUUGUUGUUGUUUUAAGGACAAUAUCUAUCUGCACUGGUUUGUAUAUACAACCAAAAUACCAGUCUUGGCUGUCCUGGAACUCUCUUUGGCUGGUCUCGAACUCACUGAGAUCUUCCUGCCCCUGUCUCCCGAGUGCUGGGAUUAGAGGCAUGCACCACCAGGACAGUGUCUAUCUAAGCACUCUCCCCCAGAGCAUCUCCCAACCUCAAGAAAGACUUUCCAUGGCUAAGAUUCCAAUGGAUGGAGGAAGAGGUUUCAUAGGAACCAGAGCAGCUGUUCCUACUCUCUCAUUCUUCAAAUCUCAACACAGAGUCAAGCUCCUCCAGGAAGCCUGAGUCAUCCUGAGUCCCUCCCAUCUGAAAAAUGGGGACUACCAACGGUGGGGGCUGUUUUCCUCAAAUGUGUGGUUUCCAAAACAAUUUACCUCUACUGGAACAAGGAAAUAAACAAAGAAAAAAGGAUGAUAUGGAAUCCAGGAAACCGAAGACGUAACACAGGCCAGAGAUGAAGGGAUGGUGGAAAGAAAUUCCAGAGCAACAUCUGUACAGCAGACAUGGAGAACCACCAGGCCAGACUGGAGCCAGAGGACAGAGAAAUCUGGGAGAGUUGUCCCCAGGAGGGCAGACAUGCAGCAAUAACAUUGAUGAAUUUCCUCAUACACUUGGUCUUGUGAAAAAUUGUACCAUUAGAGACAGAGAGAUUUAGCAGUAGAUAGACACUGAGCAAAUGAAAACAAAAAAGACACAGUUAGGUACAGGAAAAAUUAAAACAUUGAACAUACAUUGUAUACUCCUGGUUUAUCAGAUAACAAAAUGUAUACAGUAUACAAAGUAAUAAAGUAAAUGUUAUUAUAAAAACAAAUUUAAUCCAAAGUUAGUGAUUUUGGUGGCUGGCAACAGGAGGGAGGAGAUUUUAGAGGUAAGUAAUCAGGUAUCAUAAUAGAAAAUUAAUCAUUAGAGCCGAGGGUGGAUUUUCAGUGACAGAGCAUUUACUUGAUUGACUUGUUCCAGGCCUGGGUUUGAUUCCCAGAACCACAAAAAGAAAAAACGG